GACAGAGGGUGCAAACGUUGCUCGGAAUCACUGGGCGUAAAGGGCGUGUAGGCGGGCAGGAAAGUCAGAUGUGAAAUCCCUGGGCUCAACCCAGGAACUGCAUUUGAAACUCCCUUUCUUGAGUGUCGGAGAGGAAAGUGGAAUUCCUGGUGUAGAGGUGAAAUUCGUAGAUAUCGAGAGGAACACCGGUGGCGAAGGCGGCCUUCUGGACAGUGACUGACGCUGAGACGCGAAAGCGUGGGGAGCAAACGGG
rnacentral:rRNA from 1 species